UACGGGGGGAGCAAGCGUUGUUCGGAUUUACUGGGCGUAAAGAGCGCGUAGGCGGUCAGCACAAGUCAGUUGUGAAAUCUCCGGGCUUAACUCGGAAAGGUCAACUGAUACUGUGCGACUAGAGUGCGGAAGGGGCAACUGGAAUUCUCGGUGUAGCGGUGAAAUGCGUAGAUAUCAGGAGGAACACCGGUGGCGAAGGCGGUUCUCUGGGCAUGUCCUGACGCUGAGGAGCGAAAGUGUGGGGAGCGAACAGG
rnacentral:rRNA from 1 species